GUUAGAUAAUGAUAAUGCCUUUGUUUUGAAGACAGACUUCUUGUACAUCCGGUAUUACUCUCGCUAACUGACGGACCUGACUAUAGUCUUCAGCAUCAUCUAAACAUUAGCUUGCUGGGUAGCCUUUAGCUAGCCAAACUGUUAAAACAGAGCUCAAGGCUAAGCUAAUUUAUGAGUCGCAAAAGAAACCACAGCUUCACUGAAACGAACCGGUCUUCUGAACUGCACGGGGCCUUUAUGGAGCCUCACGGGUCAGCGAGCCGAGCCGACGGCGAUUUCCUGGAGCUAGAGCCCGACGAGGAGCUGCUCUGUUCGGUUAGCGACAUUACGGAGCACCUCGGCAGAAACAUCACUGUAGUGCUUGAGACAGCUCUGUCUGAGAUACGCAAAAUGGUCAGCAUCAGGAUACGAGUCCUGAAAAUGGAGCUGCGCGAGAAAACCGAGGAAAUUGAGGUACUUAAGUCCAGACUGGGUACAGUCCAGAGGGAUGGCAGGGACCCUGUACUUAGCGUUACUAACAUGGAGCCGUCUGCAGAUGCUGGCCUGAAGAAACUCGACUUCUGCUCCGUCAACAAAGUCAACAGUGCCGAGCCUAGGAGAGCCAAAGCCGUCAUGCCUGGUGUGAAAAAGGAGAAUAUAGAUGCUAUCUGCGACUAUCUCAUGAAAGACAAGAACUCUAGGGGUUGUACUGAAGUUGACGGAGAUCAAAGUGGCCCAGCCAGCGGCGACAGGGAGGUUCGCCAAGAGCCGGACCCGCACUCCCUUAACCUGUGGCCAGACAGCAAUAUGGCUGGCACCGGACCUGGGCACGGAGACCCCGAGUCCACCACGGAUGACAUCUUCAGUAUGCUUCCUUCUGGCAGCAAACGAAUGUAUGACUACGAAUGGAUAGCACCAAUGGAGUAUUCUUCAGACCUGAAAGUCAUGAAGGAGCCUGAGUGUGUGAACACUUCAACCAGUGACUCAGAAGACGAAGAUGAGGAUGAGUCAGUGAGAAGGGAGGAGGGUGGACUGGAGAAGGCCCAAGCCCCGCUUUCACAUGUCCAGCCCUCUGAGUUCUCCAUGGAGCACCAGAGCUCUCCAGGGGAGGGAGGGAGUCCCCUGGAGGGCAACACAGACAGGCCUGCAACAGGUCAGCAGUUCCCCGCCCACACCUAUAUCUGCUCUCUCUGUGGAACCUUCUGCCCUGACUCUGCGUUCCUAGAGGAACAUGUCAAACUGAUACACUCAGACUCUGCUGAUGCCCAAGUUCUCCAGGCCCUGCAGUCCACCUGCUCAGCUGCACUCACCCUGGGAGACAGCAGCAGUGAGUCCAGAAGGUCUGGAGGGGUGCAGAACAAUGGCAAUACAGGAGUAGGUGUUGGUGCCGGCAUCAAUCGGGCAGGGGGGCCUGUGAAAAAAGAGAUUAAAAUUGAGGGGGGUUAUGAGUGUGGGGACUGUGGGCGCCAUUUUAACUACCUUGGUAACCUGCGGCAGCACCAGCGUAUCCACACUGGAGAGAAGCCCUUCAUGUGUCCAGAGUGUGGGGAGAGGUUUCGCCAUGCAGCCCGCUUAAAAAGUCACAGGCUGGUUCACAGCGGAGCCCAGAGCCCCUUCCCAUGCCCCCAGUGUGGAAAGGGUUUCUCAGUGCUCUCUGGACUCAAGAGACACCAACGGGUACACACAGGCGAGAGCCCGUAUGCCUGUCCACAAUGUGGCCGGCGCUUUAAGGAACUGGGGAACCUGUACACCCACCAGAGGAUCCACAGCGGAGCUACACCCUACUGCUGCCAGCAGUGUGGACGCAGCUUCCGUCAUUUGGGUACCUACAAGAGCCACCGCUGCACCCCAGCACAGUAAACCAGCAGCUACGCUUUCUAUACUUUCUGGGAAAAAGAAAGGCAAGAUAUACGUCAGAGACAGGACAUGAGGCGUUUGUCUUCCUCAUGUGGCUAUCUGUUGACACUGGGGUUAGUGAUCCAGAUGGGUACGAUAUUUUGUGCACUGCAUCCAAUGGGCUGGAGGUGUCCCAAAACGUGGCUUUUUUUCCCCUCGAGAACCCCCCGGACGCUGGCCCGAUGACAGUGGCAAAUGUUCUGGCACUUGGCCCUAAGCAACAAGUGCCCUCGGUGCGUGUCAAGAUUUUACCUGGUGGAGCGGUGAGCCGAAUGGUGCAGUGGGAUGGUGGGCCACGAGAGCUCAAGCAAUUUCAUGUUUGCGACAGGAGCGGCCAGACAAAGCUUACCUUGUGGGAGGAUAAGAUUCUGAUGGUCAAGGAGUCCAGGUCGUAUCAGAUAACGAGUCUGACCACAAGGAGGUUUGGGGAGAAGAACACGCUGACCAGCACUUGGUCCAGUACAAUAAAAGAGAUUGAGGACGUUGGGGAACCUGACACUUUGGAGGCAUGGGACGACGAGCUGGAUGUGCCCAAGAUUUGUGGCCGUGUCAUUAAGUGCGAUGUAGUUGCACGAUAUUACUGUGUGAUAUGUCAUGGGAGCCAAACAAACGUACAUGAAAAGAGUGAGGGGCAUCGUUGCGAGAAGUGCGACAUGCUGCAACGACGGGAAACAUUCAUAGUGCUGUAUGGGGGAAAGAUCUCUAUAUUCCACGAUGAGCAGGAGUUGUCGCUGGGGCUUACAAACGUUGCAGUGAGCACGUUUGUGUCAGAGCAGCUGGGCAGUGCUCCCACUGACGUUGACGCCAUUGCGUGGAAACUGACCUGUGCUGGAACUGUGGAGUUGGAAGUCGACUCAAGUCAGACAGUCACGUCAAAGUGGCUUAUGAUGAUUCAUGUUCCAACCAAGCUGAGGGGUCAGACCCAAUGUUAGCAACGCAAGGUGAUGUCUAGUGUGCAGGCGUUUGACAAGUUCAGGAGGAAGAAGAAAUCUAUUCGUUUGAAGAUGUGUAAUUGCUGUAUUGAUAGUUUGUAUGAUAGGGGUGUGUUGUUGUUGUUUGUGGUGAAAUAUGUACAUGUCCUUUUGAGUUACAGUGGUAUGUGGGGAAGUUAUUUAGGUGCAAGUGUGUGAGUGCUAUUCAAAACAAGUGUUUAUUUAAAUAACAAGUGUGUGUGUGUGUGUGUAUACUCAAUAUUGUGUUUUUUUUUCUUGAACUAAAUAUCUAGUUAUUUAGUUGAGUAGAUCAGUUGAUGAAGCAUAUUUGUGUGUACAUUCUUGUAAUAUUAUAUGAACAUUGUAAUUACUUUUUAAUACAAUGGUGAGAGUGUAAAUAGGUAAGGAAGUAAAAUUUAUUUUUAUAGCACUUCUCACAGAGAAGACUUACAAAGUGUCUCUCAGAUAAAAAUAUAAACAUCAUACCAAACAUCAUACCCUAUUAUGCAAAGUAAAUAACAAAAGCAGCAGCACAUUUGAACAGAAAGUACAAUGACAUAAUACAAAUAAAUCCAAAUACCCCCAGGCUUAUUGACAUGCCUGCCUAAACAGUUUUUAAAUGUUUUGAGAGCAAGAGCAUUUUGAUGUUCAUGUACAUUUUUGAUGUACAUGUUUUCCAGAAUGUAUAUUUCGCAGUUUUGGGGAUAGAAAUUGAUGGAAAUUUGUAGCAUGGCUAUGUGUUUGUCUCAUAUUUUUGUAUGAGAAUAUACUGGUGUGUAAUUGUACAGUUGUAUUGCAAAAGCAUUGAACACACGUUUGUGUCAACGUAAUUUGUGGUACUGUAUAUAAUGGUUCCUGCAUUUAGUUAAUUUCGUGUUUAUUCUGGCAAUAUAAUCUAAAAGGUGAAAUUAUCCAUUUCAAAAUAAUAGCUGAAAGAAAAGCAUAAGCGUUUUUGAGGUAAUCAGAACAGUAGUAUGCGUUUUUCACAUUUGUUAAGUAUUUGUAAUGACAAGCACAGGGAAUAAUGACAUCUUUCAGCCUACAUUUGUCCAUUUUUGAUGUGUUAACUUUGUGUUACAGAUGCCACGUCCUAGCAAGUGGUCUUUGGCGAGCAAGAAGAACCUGGCUGCGGCUGCAGUUCAGGAGUGUACUAAGGAGGUUUGAAAUAACAGUAUUUUUGUGGUAUAUACAAUGUGCUGUGGAAUAAUAAUAAUGAUGUAGAUUUCAUACCUGCUAAGAUGUUCCUUUUACAGGAGACUCAUAUGUCUUAACUUUUCUUGUUUAUGGUUUACAAGUACUAAUUUAUUUAGCUACCUUUUUUAAUACAGUGAUUUUUACAUUCAAACACAAUGAGGAAAUGUUGGGUAAGUUUCAAGUACUUUAAUGUUUUCUAUUAGGUGCCACAGAAUAAGAAAAAUGACAACUGUGUCAGAAGGAUUCCUCACUAACCAAAGCUGUUAAUAUAUACCAUGUCUUUUGCAAAGGCUGUGAAAAAACAUUCAAGGUCUUGUGUAAUGAGAAGCAUAAUGUUGAGAAAAGCUCAAUUCUAAAGAGCUAUUGAACAGUCUUUUUAUUUUGUAGUAAAAUGUAUUUGCACAACACAACAUUUGCAGGUAUGACAUGUGCACUUCCAUAUCCAAAACAUGUUAAUGUUUCAAAGCAUUAUUGGCCUGCUUUGUACAAGUGAUAUUCCUGGUACUGCAUUUGUAUGGUUACAGUAUAUAGACAAUUUGCUGUUUAUUUUGUCAAUAUGAUAUUGAAACAUAAUAAAGUAUUCAAGAGAGCUUAUAGAACGUGAUAUUUUCAUGUGCAUCUGUUAAGGGCUAGCUGGAGUAUUCUUUUCAUUUGCGGAAAGCUUGCGCCGUGGCGUGGAGAGCUGCCUUAAAGGCCAACUCACACCGGACGCGGAACGGCACCACCGCGGUCACCGUAGCAAAU